rnacentral:lncRNA from 1 species
UGCAAUCAAAUCUCAUGUAAUUCCUUGUUUUACAGAUAAGAAACUGAGGCAGAGAGGGAAGAAAGGUUGAUGAAGGAGUCACCAGUGAGUCAUCAUCUCAGGCUGCGACAUGAAGAUUUUUAGAAGAAAAGCCAGUGGGCUCCCAGUCAAAGUUAAAAAGCUGGAGGUAUCUCCUGUGAACAUUUGGGUCUCCUGCAACCACAGCAGUCCCCCCUCCCCCACCACCGCCACUGCCACCGCUGCCUGCACCUGCUUUGGGUAAGCCAUAACCCCCUUAUCAGCCUGCCUUCCUCACGGUAGCAUUCCCAGGCAAGCCAGACA